rnacentral:rRNA from 1 species
CCACUACGCUGCAGACGGCGCGCCAAACGAUUGGCGACGGACUAGCGUCCUGUAUGGGCGCCACGCUCGACCUCGAGCAAGGCAACAUACGGAUAAGUCACAGAAACGACGUGUAAAUUAAAUAGAGCCUUGAGCUCUCCAGCUUCUCGAAAACAACGUUCAUGUGAAAACAUGAACAAUGUUGCGUUUUGCCGACCUGGUGGUUAUCGCGGGGCGGCUGCACCCGUUCCCAUUCCGAACACGGCCGUGAAACGCCCCAGCGCCAAUGGUACUUCGUCUCAAGACGCGGGAGAGUAGGUCGCUGCCAGGU